rnacentral:rRNA from 1 species
UGGGGAAUCUUGCGCAAUGGGCGAAAGCCUGACGCAGCGACGCCGCGUGUGGGAUGAAGGUCUUCGGAUUGUAAACCACUGUCGGGAGGGACGAAGCUCUGACGGUACCUCCAAAGGAAGCACCGGCUAACUCUGUGCCAGCAGCCGCGGUAAUACAGAGGGUGCGAGCGUUGUCCGGAAUCACUGGGCGUAAAGGGCGCGUAGGCGGCCUGGUGAGUAGGGGGUGAAAUCUCAUGGCUCAACUGUGAGGCUGCCUUCUAGACUGCUGGGCUUGAGCACGGUAGAGGCUGGUGGAAUUCCCGGUGUAGCGGUGGAAUGCGUAGAGAUCGGGAGGAACAUCGGUGGCGAAGGCGGCCAGCUGGGCCGUUGCUGACGCUGAGGCGCGAAAGCGUGGGGAGCAAACAGGAUUAGAUACCCGAGUAGUCCCUGAGCGGGCUGGCAAGGCGCAU